rfam:Dipodomys ordii contig_35294, whole genome shotgun sequence.
GGUGGCUCAGUGGUAGAGCACUUGCUUUGCACACAUGAGGCCUUGAGUUCGAUCCCUCAGCACCA